UUCCCUACGGGACGCAGCAGUGAGGAAUAUUGGUCAAUGGGCGCGAGCCUGAACUAGCCAAGUCGCGUGAGGGAAGACGGUCCUAUGGAUUGUAAACCUCUUUUGUCGGGGAGCAAAAGACGCCACGUGUGGCGUUCCGAGAGUACCCGAAGAAAAAGCAUCGGCUAACUCCGUGCCAGCAGCCGCGGUAAUACGGAGGCUGCGAGCGUUAUCCGGAUUUAUUGGGUUUAAAGGGUGCGUAGGCGGGCUUUUAAGUCAGCGUUAAAAAUUCGGGGCUCAACCCCGUCCGGCCGUU
rnacentral:rRNA from 1 species